GGUUAAGCGACUAAGCGUACACGGUGGAUGCCCUGGCAGUCAGAGGCGAUGAAGGACGUGCUAAUCUGCGAUAAGCGUCGGUAAGGUGAUAUGAACCGUUAUAACCGGCGAUUUCCGAAUGGGGAAACCCAGUGUGAUUCGUCACACUAUCAUUAACUGAAUCCAUAGGUUAAUGAGGCGAACCGGGGGAACUGAAACAUCUAAGUACCCCGAGGAAAAGAAAUCAACCGAGAUUCCCCCAGUAGCGGCGAGCGAACGGGGAGCAGCCCAGAGCCUGAAUCAGUGUGUGUGUUAGUGGAAGCGUCUGGAAAGGCGUGCGAUACAGGGUGACAGCCCCGUACACAAAAAUGCACAUACUGUGAGCUCGAUGAGUAGGGCGGGACACGUGGUAUCCUGUCUGAAUAUGGGGGGACCAUCCUCCAAGGCUAAAUACUCCUGACUGACCGAUAGUGAACCAGUACCGUGAGGGAAAGGCGAAAAGAACCCCGGCGAGGGGAGUGAAAAAGAACCUGAAACCGUGUACGUACAAGCAGUGGGAGCACGCUUAGGCGUGUGACUGCGUACCUUUUGUAUAAUGGGUCAGCGACUUAUAUUCUGUAGCAAGGUUAACCGAAUAGGGGAGCCGAAGGGAAACCGAGUCUUAACUGGGCGUUAAGUUGCAGGGUAUAGACCCGAAACCCGGUGAUCUAGCCAUGGGCAGGUUGAAGGUUGGGUAACACUAACUGGAGGACCGAACCGACUAAUGUUGAAAAAUUAGCGGAUGACUUGUGGCUGGGGGUGAAAGGCCAAUCAAACCGGGAGAUAGCUGGUUCUCCCCGAAAGCUAUUUAGGUAGCGCCUCGUGAAUUCAUCUCCGGGGGUAGAGCACUGUUUCGGCAAGGGGGUCAUCCCGACUUACCAACCCGAUGCAAACUGCGAAUACCGGAGAAUGUUAUCACGGGAGACACACGGCGGGUGCUAACGUCCGUCGUGAAGAGGGAAACAACCCAGACCGCCAGCUAAGGUCCCAAAGUCAUGGUUAAGUGGGAAACGAUGUGGGAAGGCCCAGACAGCCAGGAUGUUGGCUUAGAAGCAGCCAUCAUUUAAAGAAAGCGUAAUAGCUCACUGGUCGAGUCGGCCUGCGCGGAAGAUGUAACGGGGCUAAACCAUGCACCGAAGCUGCGGCAGCGACGCUUAUGCGUUGUUGGGUAGGGGAGCGUUCUGUAAGCCUGUGAAGGUGUGCUGUGAGGUAUGCUGGAGGUAUCAGAAGUGCGAAUGCUGACAUAAGUAACGAUAAAGCGGGUGAAAAGCCCGCUCGCCGGAAGACCAAGGGUUCCUG
rnacentral:rRNA from 1 species